AUUCAACUGACGAGUCCCAAAUAGGACGAAGCGACGCGCGUUCAGGAU
rnacentral:hammerhead_ribozyme from 1 species